CAGCAGCCGCGGUAAUACAGAGGGUGCAAGCGUUAAUCGGAAUUACUGGGCGUAAAGCGCGCGUAGGUGGUUUGUUAAGUUGGAUGUGAAAGCCCCGGGCUCAACCUGGGAACUGCAUCCAAAACUGGCAAGCUAGAGUACGGUAGAGGGUGGUGGAAUUUCCUGUGUAGAGGUGAAAUGCGUAGAUAUAGGAAGGAACACCAGUGGCGAAGGCGACCACCUGGACUGAUACUGACACUGAGGUGCGAAAGCGUGGGGAGCAAACAGGAUUAGAUACCCGAGUAGUCCCUGUCUCUUAUAA
rnacentral:rRNA from 1 species